rnacentral:rRNA from 1 species
UACGUAGGGUGCGAGCGUUGUCCGGAAUUAUUGGGCGUAAAGAGCUUGUAGGCGGUUUGUCCGCGUCUGCUGUGAAAAUCCGAGACGUCAACCUCGGCUUGCAGUGGGUACGGGCAGACUAGAGUGUGGUAGGGGAGACUGGAAUUCCUGGUGUAGCGGUGAAAUGCGCAGAUAUCAGGAGGAACACCAACAGCGAAGGCAGAUCUCUGGGACGUUACUGACGCUGAGGAGCGAAAGCGUGGGGAGCGAACAGG